AUGAAGAGCACAGAAGCAAAUAGCAGCAUGUUAGUUUUCGUUUUGUUUUGUCCAAGAGCUUUCAGUACUCUCAGGUGCUGCACCACCUGUGCCCAUGGGUUCGACUAAACUAGUCAUUUGAUGUGUGCUCCAAGAAUCGCCAAGCCAUGUUUAUCUGAUCUCAACAAGGCCCUUGUGUUUGGAUGACUUCAAGAUGGUAUUCUGCAAAAAUACAAGUGUCAAACUCAAGGCCCACAUCUUUUUAUGUGGCCCGUGAAAGUAAAUCAUAUUUGUGUCAACUUCCAUUUUUAUUGCUAAAAUCUGUACUAAAAUAUAAAAUUUAAUGUGAAAAAAAAUAAUAACGUGCUAUUACAAGCAUUUUUUUCAUUACCAAACCUCUUUAUACAGUCACUUGAUGUGGAUGGGAGGGUUUAAGAGUAUCCCUAUUUAUUAUUAAAGAGCACUGGAAUCGUCCAACUUCAGCAAUGUCUUUUGUAUUUCGAGAGAACUGACUCAUAUUUAACAAGACUCAAUAGGAAAACCGGAAGUUGCAUCAUGAAAUGAGACGAGAUAAACGAAUGAAUAUUACUCAUCAUUAACUAUACUAUGUGUGCAGUUUGCAUGUUCUCCCGGUGCCUGUGUGGGUUUUCUCCGGGCACUCCGGUUUCCUCCCACAUCCCAAAAACAUGCAUGAAUUGGAGACUCUAAAUUGCCCGUAGGUGUGAAUGUGAGUGCGAAUGGUUGUUUGUUUGUAUGUGCCCUGCGAUUGGCUGGCAACCAGUUCAGGGUGUACCCCACCUCCUGCCCGAUGAUAGCUGGGAUAGGCUCCAGCACGCCCGCGACCCUAGUGAGGAGAAGCGGCUCAGAAAAUGGAUGGAUGGAUGGAUCAUUAUAUUUGUCCAAACAAAUAUACCUUUAGUUGUACCAGGCAUUAAAAAUUAACAAAAAACUGAAGAAACAAGGGUGGUCUAAUUUCCCCCCCAUGACUAUAUUAAUGGUCAGAGGACAAAUAUUUUAAUUUUUUCUUGAUAACUCUAGAACCACUUUACAAACCACAUCUGCCAUUUCAAAGUGAUUAUAUGGCAGAUAUACAGAAGUUAAAUCGAUAAAUAUGAUGCCGAAUGCGCCGUCUGCUUUUUGCAUCCUGCGCCUUCCGGUCUUUGUCUCUUUCCGGCGCUGUGAGCCAAACAUCCUGUUCAUUCGGCGUUGUGUGCUAUUGUUCCAUGCUUUUGUUCCCGUCCUCAUAUAUUUGUCGUCGUAUGGUUUAAUGAUGCGACGAUGGUUUAUUGUGUGGCAUUUGGUUGUACAAAUGGUUCAGGCAGCGGCAAGAGUUGUUUUUUUGGUUUUCCAAGUGAAGAAGGAAUACGUGACCAGUGGAUAGUGAAAGUAACUCGACAGGGGAAGAAAUGUGCUCAGUUAUGGGUGCCUAGCAAGCAUUCCAAACUCUAUGCCGAUCACUUCGAACCGGCGUGUUUUGAGAAAGCAUUGGAUACACAGGUGUAGUUAGGCAGAGACUGAAACCAGGUGUGGUGCCCACUAUUUUUUCCACGGCCAGCGGGACCUCUACCGCCAGCAAGAGAACUAAAUCUCGCAGUAGCGAAGCGGCGCAGACAAGUGGUGAGCAUUUCCUUGUAUAUCAGAAUCAGAAUCAGAAUCAUCUUUAUUUGCCAAGUAUGUCCAAAAAACACACAAGGAAUUUGUCUCCGGUAGUUGGAGCCGCUCUCGUACGACAACAGACAGUCAAUUGACAAAGAACACUUUUGAGACAUAAAGACAUUGACAAAAAACAAACAAAAAAAAAAAAACAGUCACUGAGCAGUGAACGGCUGCUAGUUAUCUGGUAAUGCCGGUACAUUUUUUUUUUUUUUUUUUUUGACAAUUGUGCAAAAGAUGAGUCACUGAUGGUGUAGUGGUACACUCGCCUGACUUUGGUGCAGGCAGCGUGGGUUCAGUUCCCACUCAGUGAUGGUGUGAAUGUGAGUGCGAAUGGUUGUCCGCGUCCAUAUGUGCCCUGCGACUGACUGGCGACCAGUUCAGGGUGUAGUCCGCCUUUCGCCCGAAGUCAGCUGGGAUAGGCUCCAGCGCCGCGCGACCCUAACCAGGAUAAGCGGUGUUGAAAAUGGAUGGAUGGAUGGAUGUGCAAAAGAUGCAGAGUCCUCUAGCACUUAGAGCAGUUUGAAUGACUAAUAUUGCAAUAGUCCGGUGCAAUGACCAUUGUGCAAAGGGCGCCGAGACUUCAAGGAGUGUAUGCGGUUUAAAGUGACGAGUAGUGCGAUAAUCUGGGACAAUGUUGGCUGUGCAAAUGUUGCAGAUACUCCUCAAUCAGUGUGCAAAUGGAGCAGAUGCUACUCUGGCAUGAGUGGCCAGUACAGAUAUGCAAAUAGUGCAGCAUGGCGAGACAACUACAGUGAGUGCACAAGUAAUUGGCCCCAGAGAAAUGUGACAAAAAAAAAAUUCCCAGCAUGUUGUAAUGGAAUUGUAGGUUAGGUGUUUAAGAAGUUGAUUGCGAGAGGAAAGAAGCUGUUGGAAUGUCUGCUAGUUCUAGUUUGCAUUGAUCGGUAGCGCCUACCUCAGGGAAGGAGCUGGAAGAGCUGGUGACCGGGGUGCGGAGGGUCCGAGAGGAUUUUGCACGCUCUUGUCUUAGUUCUGUCCUCUGUCCUCAAGGAUGGGUAGGGGGGUAUCGACAAUCCUUUCAGCAGUUUUGAUUGUCCGUUGCAGUCGGAGUUUGUCAUUUUUUGUAGCAGCACCAAACCAGACUGUGAUGGAAGAACACAGGACUGAUUCGAUGACCGCUGUGUAGAACUGCCUCAGCAGCUCCGGUGGCAGGCCGUGCUUUCUCAGAAGCCGCAGGAAGUACAUUCUCUGCUGGGCCUUUUUGAGGACGGAGUUGAUGUUGGUCGCCCACUUCAGGUCCUGCGAGACUGUAAUUCCCAGGAACUUGAAGGUCUUGAUGGUUGACACAAGCCAGCUGGACAACGUGAGGGGCCGCUGUGGCGAAGGAUGCCUCCUGAAGUCCACGAUCAUCUCUACAGUCUUGAGCGUGUUCAGCUCCAGGUUGUGUCGGCCGCACGACAGCUCCAGCCGCUCCACUUCCUGUCGAUAUGCAGACUCGUCACCGUCCUUGAUGAGGCCGAUGACAGUGGUGUCAUCUGCAAACUUCAGGAGUUUGACAGUCGGGUGUGCUGAGGUGCAGUCGUUCGUGUAGAGAGAGAAGAGCAGCGGAGAGAGGACACAACCUUGGGGCGCCCCAGUGCUGAUGCUGCGUGUGGAUGAAGUGGCCUCCCCCAGCAUGACCUGUUGUGUCCUGCCCGUCAGAAAGCUGUAAAUCCACUGGCAGAUGGCAGGUGAGACGCUGAGCUGGAGAAACUUUGAUGAAAGGAGUUCAGGGAUGAUGGUGUUGAACGCUGAAUUGAAGUCCACGAACAGGAUCCUCGCGUAGGUCCCUGCACUGUCGAGGUGUUCUAGGAUGAAGUGCAGUCCCAUGUUGACUGCAUCAACCGUAGACCUGUUUGCUUGAUAGGCAAACUGCAAGGGGUCCAGCAGGGGACCUGUGACACUCUUGAGGUGGUCCAGUACGAGACGUUCAAAGGACUUCAUGACCACAGAUGUCAAGGCGACAGGCCUGUAGUCAUUUCGACCCGAGAUUGCAGGUUUCUUGGGGACUGGAAUGAUGGUGGAGCGUUUGAAACAGGAUGGCACGUAGCACAGUUCCAGAGAUCUAUUGAAGAUCUGUGUGAAGACUGAAGCGAGCUGGUCCGCGCAGACUUUGAGGCAGGAUGGGGACACAUGGUCUGGGCCUGCCGCUUUGUUAAUCUUUUGUUGUUUGAAGAUGCGUCUCACAUCCUGUUCAUGGAUGGUUAACGCAGAAGUCAGAGGUGUGAUUGUGGUCGGGGGUGCGGCCGCGUGGGUGUGGGGUGUGACUACGACUCUAUUAUGGUUACUAUGCACUGGGGAGUAGGAAAAAAAAGACCCACACUAAUUUUCAGUACAGUCGCCUAUAUGACAAGCCAAGACACACGGCAAAGACUUGUGCGGCGUGUUAUAACGCAACUCGAGUGAGGGGCACACAAUAUAUAGGAAUACUGCAUCCUAUGUAAAAGCUUUUGCCGUGUCACUGAAACAUAUGAAUACCUAAUACGUGCUAAAAAAUAUUGGCACACCUGGGGUGGCAUUAUUUCAAGCCAUGUGUGUAUAAAAAGACAUGCUUUUGACAUACCGUCACAUGGAGCCAGUGGCCACUCUCUUUUUCUGUUGUACAGCUGCGACUUGGCUGCGCGUCGUCGUCACUGUAAGGUUCCGACCUCCUGAUCGGCUCAAACAUGUACGCUUUGACGAUGCCAAGUUCAGUUGGGUGCUCCUGUAUGUCGAAAUCCUACUCCACAUAUUCCAACACGUUGCUCGCCAUUGCGUAUAGUGUGUAUCGCGCUGUGUUUGUCAAUUGCAGCGUCACUUCUGGUAGCCCUAGAGUAACCACACCACGGUGUCUUGAGCAUCGGGUAUGUUCGGGGAGGACUCAAUAUGCGUCAUAAAAACCUAAUUUUGAGCUAAACUAUGGUUGAAAACUUCCUGGAAGUUACGUGCAUGUAUUACAUAACAUAUAACUGUCAUGAGUGUGUGUUCCGGUUGUUGUCUUCCCCGUCUCGUACACACAUGCUCCUGAGAGCAUCUUCACCACCUGUGCCUCGUUCACCCGAAUUACCCCUUGCAUUUAACCUCGUGUCUCAUUCUUUCUUGUCGCCACUUCAAUGUAGCUUGUCGUCGCGUUCCAGUAUUCCUUGUUUCCACGUCACAGACUCACAGGAAGACUAGACCCUGUUCCGAUUAUCAACCUAGCCUUUUUACCUUAUGUUUUUGGAUACUGUUGCCUUUUUUGGAUUGCCUUCCUGUGUACCGACUUCUGCCUGUAUAUUAAAUCUCUCUUUUUUUAAACUGUCCAUUUGUUUGGGAGUCGUGCACAUUGGGGUCCUAUCCUCUGUUCCGUUCAUGAUUGAACGAACUGGCCAUAACAUGGACCCAGCAGACUCAGACCCGGUGCACAAAGCCCUUCAAGCGCAGGGUCAACGCCUCUCGAAGCAGGAUGAACAGUUUGCUGCCCUCCACCUUCAUCUCGAGGGACUAUCAGAACAUCAGGACAACAUGAGACAGGUGGCCUCACAGUUUGAAGUUCUUAUGAAAAUUAUUCAAAAGAAGGAACCAGUUGGUACAACACCCGAUACCACCACGGUACCAACGUUUUCAUGUGAACCAGUUACCAUGCAACCACCUGCCAUCUCCGCUGCUGUCUGCCCACAGCUCUCUCGACUGGAGAGGUUCUCUGGAGAUUCUGGGAAUAUUAAGCCGUUCAUCACUCAGUGCGAACUCCACUUUGAGCUGCAGGCAGCUGCCUUCCCCACCGAGCGGGCAAAAAUCGCUUUCGUCAUUUCCCACCUGACUGGUCAUGCGGAGGCAUGGGCUACUGCUGAAUGGAGUCGCGUGUCAUUUGUGGGCUUUUUUCGAAAUGACUAUGGAGCAUAUUUUUCAGUUUUCCACACCAGAUCGUGAGGCAGCUCGCUCCCUUGUCACCUUACACCAAGACAAGCGCAGGGUUUCGGAUUACGCGAUUGAUUUUCGCAUUCGAGCAGCUGAGAGUCAGUGGAAUAAUAGGGCACUGCAUUUUUUCAAGGACUAUCCCCCGCCGUCAGGGAUCAUUUGGUCCCGCUGGACCUGCCGACAGACUUGGACACUCUCAUCGCUCUCGCCGUAAAAAUCAACAAGAGGCUUUUGGAUCGCGAGCUGGACGGAGUUCGGCAGAGGGCUGCGUCAUCGCGCACUUGGAGGACGAGCCACGUCACCACGGAUGAACCCAUUCAACUGGGCAGGUUCCGUUUCUCCCCUGAGGAACGUCAACGCCGGCUGAGGGAAGCGCGAUGCUUCUACUGCUGGCAGUUGGGUCAUUCCGUGAACAACUGUCACGUCAAGUUUGCCGGUAGCAAGGGCACGGGAGCGAAGAUACACCAAGUACUCGCCUGCCUGCUUCUCUGAUCACCUUGGCUGCAGUGGUCCAGUCUUCUGGAAGCUCUUCCCGUCCACCGAGAGCCUGUAUCUGUCAUGGUCUGUGUUUUGGUUUGGGUUGUUUAGUUUUGUUCCAUGUUUUCCUGUGUUCCAUGUUUGUCGUGUGCUCAUUAGGUUGUUGUGUCCACCUGUUCUCGUCUACUUUGUGUUGACCAAUCAGCUCUCUCUAGCCACUCGUCUUGUCCAGGUGUUCCUCGUUGUCUCGUCAAUUUGUUUGUAUUUAGUUCCCUGGUUUCUUUCAGUUCUCGUCGGUUCAUUGUCGUUGUCACAUGUCUUGCCAUGUCAUUGUCGCUCAGGUAUUUCACCAGUCAUGUCUUGUUUCUUGUUUUGGGUUCACUCAAGUGUUUCUUUGUUACUUUGUGUUUAGAUUUUGGACUUUGUUAAUUUAGCAUUUAGACUUUUUCAUGAUCUUUGUUUUCCUUUGUUUUUGGAAUUAAAUAUUAUUAUUUUGAGAUUCCUGCACUCCUGCCUUGCCUCCCUGCUUCCCUGCAAUUGGGUCCACCAUGUUCUUGCCUUGCAUUCCUCGCCGUCGCCCUAACCAUGUUCAUGACAGUAUCACCUCUUCCCGAAAAGCUGCACAACACUCGUCCUGUCUCAGCUUCCACCACAUGGUUCUCUUCUCUGCCUUUGUCUUCCUAAUUUUCCUCCCCACCACCAGAGUCAUCUUACACACCACCAUCCUAUGCUGUCUAGUCACACUCUCCCCUACCACUACCUUACAGUUGGUAACCUCCUUCAGAUUACAUCGUCUGCACAAGAUGUAAUCCACCUGUGUGCUUCUACCUCCGCUCUUGUAGGUCACCCUAUGUUCGUGCCUCUUCUGGAAAAAAGUGUUCACUACAGCCAUUUGCAUCCUUGUUGCAAAGUCUACCACCAUCUGUCCCUCCAAGUUCCUUUCCUGGAUACCGUACUUACCCAUCACUUCUUCAUCACCCUUAUUACCUUCACCAACAUGUCCAUUACAAUCUGCACCAAUUACGACUCUCUCUCUGUCUGGGAUGCUCAGAACUACAUCAUCUAGCUCCUUCCAGAAUUUCUCUUUCACCUCUAGGUCACAUCCUACCUGUGGGGCAUAGCCACUAAUCACAUUACACAUAACACCCUCAAUUUCAAAUUUCAGCCUCAUCACUCGAUCUGAUACUCUUUUCACCUCCAAGACAUUCUUAGCCAACUCUUCUUUUAAAAUAACCCCGACUCCAUUUCUCUUCCCAUCUACACCAUGGUAAAAUAAUUUAAACCCUCCCCCUAAACUUCUAGCCUUACUGCCUUUCCACCUGGUCUCCUGGACACACAAUAUAUCAACCUUUCUCCUAAUCAUCAUGUCAACCAACUCCCGAGAUUUUCCUGUCAUAGUCCCAACAUUCAGUUCUAGGCUCUGUGUUUUCCUCUUCUCUUUCUGCCGAAGAACCCGCUUUCCACCUCUUCUUCUUCUUUGACUUCGACUUCGACCCACAGUAGCUGAAUUUCCAACAGCGCCCUGCAGGUUGACGGCGCCGGUGGCGGACGUUGUUAACCCGGGCCACGACCGAUCCGGUAUGGAAUUCUUUGGAUGAACGCUCAUAUUUGUUUGGCAAAGUUUUAAGCCGGAUGCCCUUCCUGAUGCAACCCUCUGCAUUUAUCCGGGCUUGGGCUACAGUUUGCACUGACUUGUGCCCCCCAUAGGGCUGCAUUGACACUACGCUCUCCUGAUCAAGAAAUUCAUACACCUGUAUUAAUUGACUGGUUCUGACGCAAACUUACUCAACUCCCUCCUCGUUAGAAGGAUGCACCUUCGAACCUUUCAAAUAAAACGCCACCGCAACACCUAUGCUGCAGACGGCAGUUUUAUGGGCAAGAUCACUCACCCGCACCCAAACACUCACAUUGACAUUUCCUGAUUCUCACUCGGAACGCAUUAGUUUUCAUGUUUUUGACGCCAUGAAUCAUGACCUUAUUUUAGGGAACCCAUGGUUGAAAUUACAUAACCACCACAUUGACUGGUCCUCUGGGCAGGCUAUGUCAUGGGGCAGCAAUUGCGCCCAGAACUGUUUCAAGCCUCCAUGUGAUGUUCAGGGAUAUGUUUCAAAUGUAAAUCCACAGACCCCAUCAGGGGAUCCUGACUUAUUUCAAGUGCCCACCUGUUACCAGGACAUUAAAGAUGUUUUUUUCCAAGUCCAAGGCCAAAUUCCUUCCACCCCACAGACCGUAUGACUGUGCUGUUGACUUGCUUCCUGGAACCACACCCCCACGAGGGAGGUUAUUCUCUCUUUCAGGGCCGGAACAGAAGGCUAUGAAGGAGUAUGUGGAUGAAUCCACACACACAACUGGCAGCCGGGAUUAUUCGCCCAUCUUCAUCCCCUGCGCGAGCCGGAUUUUUCUUUGUGGACAAGAAGGACAAGACUCUGCGACCCUGUAUCGAUUACCGGGGUCUCAACGACAUAACUGUGAAAAACAGGUAUGUGCUGCUAACAAGUCCUCUCGUAAACGUCCUUCUGGGGAGUUCUGACCCCUGCCAAUAUCACAACGUCCUUGGUCAGACAUUUCCGUAGACCUUGUGAAAGGGUUACCGGCCUCUAAAGAGAAUACCACCAUUCUCACAGUUGUGGACACGUUCUCUAAGAUGGCACACUUCAUUGGACUCCCGAAACUCCCCUCAGCUAAAGUCACUGCCGAGUUAAUGAUACACCAGGUAUUCAAGUUCCAUGGUUUCCCCAAGAAUGUGGUAUCUGAUAGGGGUCCCCAAUUCAUUUCGCAAUUUUGGAAGGAGUUUUGCAAUCUCAUAGGUGCUACCGUCAGUCUGACAUCUAGGUUUCACCCUGAAACCAACGGACAAACCGAGAGGCUGAACCAGGACUUGGACACUGGGCUCCGAUGUCUCGCUUCCCAGGAGCCCCGAUCCUGGUCUCAGAAAGUGGUUAGGGUCUAAUUCUCUCACAAUUCCCUCCCCUCUGCAUCCACUGGUCUAUCGCCUUUUCACGUUGUGCAUGUUUACCAACCAUCUCUAUUUCCUGCGAUAGCUCCAGAGUCCACAGUUCCAGCGGCAUUGACCUUGGUGAGACGCUGCAGGAGGACCUGGGAGCAAGCCCGCCAGAUGCUGCCUUGCCAGGGACGGUCCUACAAGACUGCAGCUGACCGAACUAAAAAGUGAGUCAGCGAGUUUGGCUCUCCACCAAGCAUAUUCCACUCCGGGUGGAGUCCCGGAAGCUCGCUCCAAGGUUCGUUGGGCCGUUCCCCAUCACGAGGAUCAUCAACCCUGUCACCGUGAAGCUUAGGCUCCCAAGGUCGAUGCUGGUCCACCCUGCUUUUCACGUCAGCCUGCUCAAGUCCAGCUGGAAGUCCCCUCUGGUCACGCCUUCCAGGCCCCCUCCACUCCCCCGGUUCGUGGAUGGGGGCCCUGUCUUCACUGUGAGGCGGCUGUUGUCGUCUCGUCGGAGGGGGAGGGGGUUUCAAUAUCUGGUGGACUGUGAGGGCUACGGGCCUGAGGAACGUUGAUGGGUGUCGUCUGUGUUUAUCCUGGAUGACUCGCUCAUUCGGGACUUCCACGUUGCGCAUCCAGGGGGUCCGGGGCCGUCUGGGGCCAGCCGUUAAAGCGGGGGGGUACUGUCAUGGGUGUGUGUUCCGGUUGUUGUCUUCCCCCUGUCUCGUACACACCUGCUCCUGAGAGCAUCUUCACCACCUGUACCUCGUUCACCCUAAUUACCCCUUGCAUUUAACUUCAUGUCUCGUUCUUUCGAGUCGCCAGUUCGUUGUACCUUGUCGUUGCGUUCCAGCAUUCCUUGUUUCCAUGUCACAGACUCACAGUAAGACUAGACCCUGUUCCGAUUAUCGACCUUGCCUUUUUGCCUCACCUUUUUGGAUACUGUUGCCUUUUUUGCAUUGGCUGCCUGUGUACUGACCUCUGCCCGUGUAUUAAACCUCUCUUUUUUUAAACUGUC